ACCCAACAGAUAACAAGGGUUUUCAAGAGCUACAGCACCCUCCAGCUGUGGGGAGAGUGAUGUCAUCAUGUUCGAUGCGUUCAAGUGGAAUGUGCCACCGGUAGCGAUCAGCGUGGAUUUUGGACACACUCACACCCGGCUUUCUCUUCAACUUCAUGAAAUCUACUUGAAUACGAUUCUGUGUUAUAGUACUGCACAAUUAUUAUUUUUUCGCAAUAACUUGGAGGCUUCUCUGACACAGUGUACGCUAAACGAACCAAGAAAAGGACACAGCAUGCUGCGUGCGCUACUUUUCUUUCAUCCAUAGGCUACAUUUGCUUCAGAAGUUUUCUCCCCAAAUACCAACAGUUCCAUGGACGAUAUUUGAGAAAAGCGGAUGGUCUCCAUUACGGAAUACAAUUGGCGACUGAAUGAAUUGAGGCCAAACACAGAAAGGAAACAGUUGAUUCCGCACUACGAACUGAAAUCAUUCGGAUUCUUUGUCGCUAUUCACGUGGUUCCGUCUACAGGAAGUGAUCUGGUCUGGUGGUGGUGUAGUCGGGUGUGGUGUGGUCCAGGGUGUAUAGCCGCUGCUGCUUCUCUCCCUCCACCUGACGCCCUUUGCCCGCUGCUGCUUCUCUCCCUCCACCUGACGCCCUCUGCCCGCUGCUGCUUCUCUCCCUCCACCUGACGCCCUCUGCCCACUGCUGCUUCUCUCCCUCCACCUGACGCCCUCUGCCCGCUGCUGCUUCUCUCCUUCCACCUGACCCCCUCUGCCCGCUGCUGCUUCUCUCCCUCCACCUGACCCCCUCUGCCCGCUGCUGCUUCUCUCCCUCCACCUGACCCCCCUCUGCCCGCUGCUGCUUCUCUCCCUCCACCUGACCCCCCUCUGCCCGCUGCUGCUUCUCUCCCUCCACCUGACCCCCCUCUGCCCGCUGCUGCUUCUCUCCCUCCACCAGACGCCCUCUGCCCGCUGCUGCUUCUCUCCCUCCACCUGACCCCCCUCUGCCCGCUGCUGCUUCUCUCCCUCCACCUGACGCCCUCUGCCCGCUGCUGCUUCUCUCCCACCACUGCCCAUGGCACAUACUGCUCUCCUGUGAAUCUCAUCCAGCAAGCUGGACACCACAGCUUCGCACCACAACACCUCUGCCUCCAGCUCCGCCCCUCCCCACAGGGAACCCUCCAAUCCACAGCCAGACUACCCCAGCGUGCACGGCCCCCGCCAAGAGCAGUAUGUGAGUGAGGUCGCGCCCCCCGAUGAC